rnacentral:rRNA from 3 species
UACGUAGGGUGCAAGCGUUGUCCGGAUUUAUUGGGUUUAAAGGGUGCGUAGGCGGCCCUGUAAGUCAGUGGUGAAAUACUCCAGCUUAACUGGAGGGGUGCCAUUGAUACUGCAGGGCUUGAGUUAAGUUGAAGUUGGCGGAAUUGACGGUGUAGCGGUGAAAUGCUUAGAUAUCGUCAAGAACACCGAUAGUGAAGACAGCUAACUAAACUUUUACUGACGCUGAGGCACGAAAGUGUGGGGAUCAAACAGG